UAGCUUGUUAGAAGUGGAUUAGUGGCGCACGGGUGAGUAAUGCAUAGGUUAUGUGCCCCAUAGUCUGGGAUAGCCACUGGAAACGGUGAUUAAUACCGGAUACUCCUUACGAAGGAAAGUUUUUCGCUAUGGGAUCAGCCUAUGUCCUAUCAGCUUGUUGGUGAGGUAAUGGCUCACCAAGGCUAUGACGGGUAUCCGGACUGAGAGGGUGAACGGACACACUGGAACUGAGACACGGUCCAGACUCCUACGGGAAGCAGCAGUAGGGAAUAUUGCUCAAUGGGCGAAAGCCUGAAGCAGCAACGCCGCGUGGAGGAUG
rnacentral:rRNA from 1 species